rnacentral:rRNA from 1 species
ACGCUCGACACCUACGGGAGGCUGCAGUAGGGAAUCUUCCACAAUGGGCGCAAGCCUGAUGGAGCAACGCCGCGUGAGUGAAGAAGGGUUUCGGCUCGUAAAGCUCUGUUGUUGGAGAAGAACGUGCGUGAGAGUAACUGUUCACGCAGUGACGGUAUCCAACCAGAAAGUCACGGCUAACUACGUGACAGCAGCCGCGGUAAUCUGAGCGGGCUGGCAAGGC